rnacentral:rRNA from 1 species
UACGUAGGGGGCAAGCGUUGUCCGGAUUUAUUGGGCGUAAAGAGCGUGUAGGCGGUCAGGUAGGUCCGUUGUGAAAACUCGAGGCUCAACCUCGAGACGCCGAUGGAAACCAUCUGACUAGAGUCCGGAAGAGGAGAGUGGAAUUCCUGGUGUAGCGGUGGAAUGCGCAGAUAUCAGGAGGAACACCAAUAGCGAAGGCAGCUCGCUGGGACGGUACUGACGCUAAGGCGCGAAAGCGUGGGGAGCGAACAGG